GCGCCCCCCUCGCUGUUCCCCGGUAAUGAUGUCAUCAUCCCGGCCUGGAUUAAAGGGGAAGCUGCGGUGCAGCCAGAGAGCAGCCAGAUUUAUUCAUCUGAUAAUGCAAGACUUCAACAGCAAACACAGAAACUACUGGUGACUCGGGCCAUGAGAAAGGUGAUGGUGAAGUUACGUCGGUACCAUUCCCUGGACACCAGAAGGAAGGGAUAAAAGAGAAUUAAAUCCACUGAUACAGUAUGACUUAACAGAUAAAGAAUAUACAGUUUUACAAAA